GCAAGUCGAGCGGUAACAGAGAGUAGCUUGCUACUUUGCUGACGAGCGGCGGACGGGUGAGUAAUGCUUGGGAACAUGCCUUGAGGUGGGGGACAACAGUUGGAAACAACUGCUAAUACCGCAUAACGUCUACGGACCAAAGAGGGGGAUCUUCGGACCUCUUGCCUUUUGAUUAGCCCAAGUGAGAUUAGCUAGUUGGUAAGGUAAUGGCUUACCAAGGCGACGAUCUCUAGCUGGUUUGAGAGGAUGAUC
rnacentral:rRNA from 1 species